rnacentral:lncRNA from 10 species
ACACAAGCUAUCGCUGACUGCCGGUGCAUGUUGGAAAUGGGCCACAGGGCUGGGCAUGAUAUGAGCUGCCUGGACAUUGGAGGGGGCUUCCCCGGAAUGGAGGGCUCCGGGCCCAAGUUUGAGGAGCAGUUGAGAACAACAAGCAAUAACAACCAUACGAAGAAUCUAGCAAACUCAGACUUUACUUCUCCUUUUCGUGGUCCUGGAAACAGCUCAGAAUAAAGUGGAUCUGGACCUCUACAGAAGAGAGGGAGCUCCAGAUUCCAGGUAACUCACGCCGUUGCACUCAGUGGCUCCUCCGGAGUCCAUUUGAACACAAUGAGUUCGUGCUGAUACCAAGCACCAAGUGCCAAGAAUGAGUUCUGGGUGUCUGCGGAUCCUGCUGGAAUUCUGCCGAGUAUGCUAUCUGUUGACCCAAAAGCAAGGUUUCUCUGCCCAGACAUGCAGGAUUUCUUCAGCAAAGCAAAAGCCCUGCAGAUUACCAGAUCCAUCCUCUCCUAAAGCCAGA